GCCGCAGGGUUCAAAGCUAUGCAUUUAAAAUGAACCUGUUUGGAACAGUAACAUCACAGCAGUAUCAUGAUAACAUGUGUAAAAAAAGAAAAAAAAAAACAAAGGCCUAAAGAAGCACAGAGCAAUCAGUACCGGGGUUAGAGGUUCCUGCAGGAACAUCCUUCACAGUACUUCAUGUGCGUGCGUGUGUGCGUGCGUGCGCGCUCACGGUUCCGUGUAAAGCUUUGCUUGAGAGCCCUGAGCAGAACAUGGUGUUUGUUUAGAAUCAAAGACAGACCCACGCACGCACUCACACACACGCUGGAUUUUGAAAGAGAUACUGGUUCUCCGGAAUCGGCGCCUGACCUGAUUCUUCAGUUGCCAUAUAAACAGUGCGACCUAUAACUUUAUGUUGUGUGAGGGAAGUGUCCACGCGCCACGGAGCGUGACACAAGAGGGCGCUUUUCAUCACUUCCCCCGGGAUUUGUUGAGGAAACACAGAGAUAUAAACAACGUCAUUCAAUUAUGAAGAAGGCGACAAAAACACCAGUGCCGUGAGCUGGGACGGACCAAAGAACGGCAGGUUCUCUUCACCCUGAUGGAGGGGUCAGGGGGGUUACACCCUGGAGGAUAUAGAGUGUACUACAAUCAACUAUAAUACUGCAUAUGUAUUUGUACUGUGGGAAGAAAUCAAAAGUACCUGGAGAGAACCCACGGAGGACCAGGUAUGGAACCAGCAAACUGGUGAUUCUGUUGCUCAUGGGCAGUAUUUCCUAAACGCGCAAAAUCCCGUGCUGCACUACCAAACAGAAAUGUACCAAAAAGUAUGUGUAAAAGAAUAAUAAUAAUCAUCUACUUUGGUAGUAAAAGUGUGUGUGUGCAGAAACAGGACGCCAUGACAUCCAUCUGUCAGCCCGAGUGCGACCCAAUUACAUCAGCUCAGUGGCUGCCUGUAUGUGACCGCGGUGGUUGAAGGGCACCUGAGAGAGUGUUUCCAUCAAUUUACAAGUUUGAGUCCUGAUGUCAGACCUGGUUUUUAUGGCCCAGAAAUCACACAAAGAAGGAAUGUGACCUGGUUUAUUUCUGCAUUUAAACAGAAUAUAAUUAGAAAAUAUAAAAACAAAGCCAAUCUGCUGACUCGGGAUGAGAGGGAGAUCCUGGUGACAACAAAAUAUG